GGGCGAUUAGCUCAGCUGGGAGAGCGCCGCAGUCACAUUGCGGAGGUCGCAAGUUCGAUCCUUGCAUCGCCCACCA
rnacentral:tRNA from 1 species